rnacentral:tRNA from 1 species
GGAACGUUGGCUGAGUGGCUUAAAGCACCGCACUUCGAAUGCGGCGCACCCGCUAGUACCGGGUGCCGAGGGUUCAAAUCCCUCACGUUCCUCCA